rnacentral:rRNA from 1 species
GCCAGGAGCGAUAGAACGAUGAAUGCAUCAGUUCUCAUGGAUCACUGAGCUGAAGCAACGUUGCGCAUGGUUAGUAUCCGAAUGGGUGACCAUCUGGACAAUCACGUUGUGCUGGCU